UACGUAGGGUGCAAGCGUUGUCCGGAAUUAUUGGGCGUAAAGAGCUCGUAGGCGGCUUGUCGCGUCGACUGUGAAAACCCGCGGCUCAACUGCGGGCCUGCAGCCGAUACGGGCAGGCUAGAGUUCGGUAGGGGAGACUGGAAUUCCUGGUGUAGCGGUGAAAUGCGCAGAUAUCAGGAGGAACACCGGUGGCGAAGGCGGGUCUCUGAGCCGGUACUGACGCUGAGACGCGAAAGCGUGGGGAGCGAACAGG
rnacentral:rRNA from 1 species